ensembl:lncRNA
UUGAAUUCGAAGUCCCCUGCCUUUGCCAGUAUGUCUUCCAGCUGUUUCUUUCCAUAAGAUGACGGUCGCUUGAUGGUUAACUCAUGCCCCAGACAUCGAAUUACGGUCCUCUCCUCAAAAGAGCAAUAAGGGAACCAACCUUUUUCACCACAUUCAUCUAACAGGGAAGACACAGAGAGCUUGGCGUGGAUAACAUACACUACAGUUCAAAAGUUUGGUGUCACUUAGAAAUGUCCUUGUUUUUGAAAAAAAUGCACAUUUUUUGUAGAUUAAAUGAAUAUCAAAUUGAUCAGAAAUACAUUGUUAAUGUUGUAAAUGACUAUUGUAGCUGGAAACAACAGAUUUUUAAUGGAGUAUCUACACACAGGCGUACAGAGGUCGAUUAUCAGAAACCAUCACUCCUGUGUUCCAAUGGCAUGUUGUGUUAGCAAAUGCAAGUUCAUCAUUUUAAAAGGAUAAUUGAUCAUUACAAAAUCCUUUUGCAAUUAUGUUAGCACAGCUGAAAACUGUUGUUCUGAUUAAAGAAGCAAUAAAACUGUCUUUCUUUAGACUAGUUGAGUAUCUGGAGCUUUUGUGGGUUCGAUUACAGGCUCAAAAUGGCCAAAAACAAAUAACUUUCUUCUGAAACUCGUCAGUCUAUUGUUGUUCUGAGAAAUUAAAGCUAUUCCAUGUGAGAAAUUGCCAAGAAACUGAAGACGCUGUGUACUACUCCCUUCACGGAACAGUGCAAACUGUCUCUAGCCAGAAUAGAAUGAGGAGUGGGAGGCCAUGGUGCACAACUGAGCAAGAGGACAAGUGCAUUAGAGCGUCUAGUUUGAGAAACAGACACUCCAAUGUACUUGUCCUCUUGCUCAGUUGUGCACCGUGGUCAUCAACUUUUCUUGCCGUAACGUCUUCAGUCAUCUGUCCUUUAUCCCUUGACUCCCUGAGCUCCUCAGCCAUCUUCUGGAAUUUCCUCCUCUCCAUCUCACCUAAACUCCCCCACCUGCCACUGAGGAUUGUAGGAUCACCUGAGAUGACAAUAUUGUCUACUGAUGUCAACUAUAACAGAGGAUAUUGUCAUGGUGAAAGUGUUGUGCGCUAUUGGCUUACUUGACCAAUACAGGAUCACCUUCAAACUUCUAAUGCUCACCUACAAAGCACCCGAUGGACUGGCGCCAUCAUACGUUACUGACCUUCUGCACCCCUACAUUCCGACCUGCACUCCUCUAACAAUGGCCUCCUCAUAAUUCCUUGCACCAGGCUCCGCACCAUAGGAGACGUUGCAUUUAGCAGUGUAGCCCCUCAAAAUAGCACACAAAAACGUACAAAAACUGUCACAAAUCUCUGGUUUAUUGUACCGAUGCGGUAGUACAAGACAAUGGGCGCUCUUGCUCGGGAUACAGUUCUACCGUGACAGAGCUAAGGCGAGCAUACCAUGUUCUUUCACUAUUUAAUCAGAUAUUCAACUGAUUAACAGGCCAGAUACAGUAGGUUAUAAACACACAAUAACACACGUGACCCAUGAUAUAUCAACAUUAUAAAGUUUUUAUAGUCCACACAUAAUAUUAUCUAAUAAUAUACGCCAUUAUUAAGCAGACACUUUUAAGCGACUUAGUAAUGCAACUUAGGCAUGUGUAGCUUAACCUCUUUCUAAAUAUGUUGAAAACAAAUUGCUUGAUGUAAUGAAGAGCACAAGUGUAAUAAAACAAUUCACUUUUAAAUUGUUCUCUAAUUAAACAUCACGGAAUACCCAAGUCGAAUGUUUGAUUGGUGUGACAUGCGUCACCUAAUUGUGAUUGUGCCUACAUGAGUCUCGUUAUUGGUGGGUGGGGUUCUCCCUAUACAUUUCCAGUGUUUCCCAGUGGCCAGAGGAUUCCCCUUAAAUUGUGAAGGUUGGAGUGCCUUCAGAGGACAAGAGAAGUGAAGGUGACUUAGACCAAAUUUCCAGUAAAGGCAGCCUGGUAGUUGAAUUGUAAGUACGGCAAAAGUAUGACCUCCAGCUAGGAUAAACUCUCCUUCACCCUGGGCAUGCCUCCCUAAACCUUUGUAUGUAUUGCUGUUUCUAAUUUAAAGUGAAAGCUAAUAAGUAUAUAUUGGUGAUAGGAUCAUUGUAAGAAGAUUGUGUGAUAUUAAUGCGGAGCGCUCCAAUGGUGAUUAUAGAGAUGUGACUCUCUAAUAUUGGUGCUGAAAGAUAUUGGUGCUUCAGAAAAUAAAUCUGCUGUUUAUUUGAAAUCUAUCUAAUUGCAUUCGGCUGUAUCAAGGGCUUUGUGAUUCGUUGGCCAGGCAAUUCAGGUGUGAGUGCCGGGCUGGAUAAAAAAGCUUUCUUACUGUUCACUUGGAAACUAAUUAAGAAACAUGGCAUCACUUUGUACUUACUGCUAUGUAACUGCUAUGUAAUU